rnacentral:snRNA from 1 species
GGCAUUUUCGUGAUUUGUGCU